AAACUGGGAUUAGAUACCCCACUAUUCUUAAAUAUAAAUUGAUAACUGCCAGAGUACUACGAAUUUAUGUUUAAAACUCAAAGAACUUGGCGGUGUCUUAGACCAUUUAGGGGAACCUGUCUCAUAAUCGAUAACCCACGAUACACCUGACCUCUUUUUGCAACUCAGUAUGUAUACCGUCGUCGUCAGGUAACUUUUAAGAAUUAAGAAGUUAGCAAAAAAGUAUUUGCUUCUACGUCAGAUCAAGGUGCAGCCAAUAAAGAGGAGAGGAUGGGUUACAAUUAAAAAUAAUAAUACGGAGAGAGAGUGAAACCUUUCUUGUAAGGCGGACUUAAAAGUAAAAUAAAUAAAUAAAAAUUAUUUGAAUAAUGGCUCUUAGACGUGCACACACCGCCCGUCACCCUC
rnacentral:rRNA from 1 species